rnacentral:rRNA from 1 species
GACGAACGCUGGCGGCGUGCUUAACACAUGCAAGUCGAACGGAAAGGCCCUGCGUUUGUGGGGUGCUCGAGUGGCGAACGGGUGAGUAACACGUGAGUAACCUGCCCUUGACUAUGGGAUAACUUCAGGAAACUGGGGCUAAUACCGGAUAGGAGAUCCUGCUGCAUGGUGGGGGUUGGAAAGUUUCGGCGGUUGGGUAUGGACUCGCGGCGGAUCAGCUUGUUGGGGGGGUAGUGGCUUACCACGGCUUUGACGGGUAGCCGGCCUGAGAGGGUGACCGGCCACAUUGCGACUGAGAUCCGGCCCAGCCUCCUCCCGGAGGCAGCAGUGCGGUCUCUUGCCCACUGCGCGGCAGCCUACUCCACCACCGCCGCGUGCUGUAUGACGGCCUUCGGGUUGUUAUCCCCUUUCGCCUGUGCCGAAGCGUCCGUGCCGGUACUUGGUCAAGACGCCCCGGCUAACUACGUG